rnacentral:rRNA from 1 species
AGAGUUUGAUCCUGGCUCAGGACGAACGCUGGCGGCAGGCUUAACACAUGCAAGUCGAACGCGUGUAGCAAUACACGAGUGGCGCACGGGUGAGUAACGCGUGGAUAUCUGCCUUUUGGUUCGGAAUAACCCCGGGAAACUGGGGCUAAUACCGGAUGGUUCCUUCGGGAUAAAGAUUUAUCGCCAAAAGAUGAGUCCGCGUACGAUUAGCUAGUUGGUGAGGUAAUGGCUCACCAAGGCUAUGACGGCUAGCCGGCCUGAGAGGGUGUACGGCCACACUGGAACUUAGACACGGUCCAGACUCCUACGGGAGGCAGCAGUGAGGAAUAUUGCGCAAUGGGCGAAAGCCUGACGCAGCGACGCCGCGUGGAGGAUGAAGGUUUUAGGAUCGUAAACUCCUGUUAAGUGGGAAGAAAGAUUCAUCUCUAAUACAGAUGAAGGAUGACGGUACCGCUAGAGAAAGCACCGGCUAACUUCGUGCCAGCAGCCGCGGUAAUACGAGGGGUGCAAGCGUUAUUCGGAAUCACUGGGCGUAAAGGGUGUGCAGACGAUUUAUUAAGUUGCUUGUUUAAUUCUUCGGCCUAACCGAAGGCUCGCAAGCAAAACUGGUAGACUUGAGGAUGGAAGAGAGAAGUGGAAUUCUCGGAGUAGCGGUAAAAUGCGUAGAUCUCGAGAGGAACACCAAUGGCGAAGGCAGCUUCUUGGUCCAUUCCUGACGUUCAUACACGAAAGCGUGGGGAGCAAACAGGAUUAGAUACCCUGGUAGUCC